CUAGUAAUGGCAGGUCAGCAUACUGCCGUGAAUACGUUCCCGGGCCUUGUACACACUGCCCGUCCACACCAUGAGAGUUGGGAAUACCCGAAGCCUGUGAGCUAACGUUAAGAGGCAGCAGUCGAAGGUAGAAUCAAUGAUUGGGGUGAAGUCGUAACAAGGUACC
rnacentral:rRNA from 1 species